rnacentral:lncRNA from 1 species
UGGUGGGAGUUCGACUCUCGCAAGAGCUCGGUUGGAAUCUGAAAGGCGGUCGACCGUCGUAGAAACUUGGAUGGAGUCUGGUUACUAUAGAAAUCUCGUUGUCGGAGAAGCUCAGAUAUUGAUGAAGUUCGAAAGAAGUUUGGAGUAGGGUCAUCCGUGGCUGAAAGAAGUCCGAAAGGGAUUCGGAGAAUAGUUGAUCACUGUAGAAGGUCGGCU